AGGGAUUUAGCUCAAUGGCAGAAGUGCAUGCCUGGCAAGCAUGAGGUCGUGAGUUCAAUUCCUG
rnacentral:tRNA from 1 species